AGACCCGAAACCCGGUGAUCUAGCCAUGGGCAGGUUGAAGGUUGGGUAACACUAACUGGAGGACCGAACCGACUAAUGUUGAAAAAUUAGCGGAUGACCUGUGGCUGGGGGUGAAAGGCCAAUCAAACCGGGAGAUAGCUGGUUCUCCCCGAAAGCUAUUUAGGUAGCGCCUCGUGAAUUCAUCUCCGGGGGUAGAGCACUGUUUCGGCCAGGGGGCCAUCCCGGCUUACCAACCCGAUGCAAACUGCGAAUACCGGAGAAUGUUAUCACGGGAGACACACGGCGGGUGCUAACGUCCGUCGUGAAGAGGGAAACAACCCAGACCGCCAGCUAAGGUCCCAAAGUCAUGGUUAAGUGGGAAACGAUGUGGGAAGGCCCAGACAGCCAGGAUGUUGGCUUAGAAGCAGCCAUCAUUUAAAGAAAGCGUAAUAGCUCACUGGUCGAGUCGGCCUGCGCGGAAGAUGUAACGGGGCUAAACCAUGCACCGAAGCUGCGGCAGCGAACGUAUCACCCAAGACAACUUUGCACAGUUGACGAUUGACGGAGCGAAGCGACGUCAAAGCGUUUUACAACGUCGAGUUGGCUUAGGGAUACGUUCGUUGGGUAGGGGAGCGUUCUGUAAGCCUGUGAAGGUGUGUCGUGAGGCAUGCUGGAGGUAUCAGAAGUGCGAAUGCUGACAUAAGUAACGAUAAAGCGGGUGAAAAGCCCGCUCGCCGGAAGACCAAGGGUUCCUGUCCAACGUUAAUCGGGGCAGGGUGAGUCGACCCCUAAGGCGAGGCCGAAAGGCGUAGUCGAUGGGAAACGGGUUAAUAUUCCCGUACUUGGUGUUACUGCGAAGGGGGGACGGAGAAGGCUAUGUUGGCCGGGCGACGGUUGUCCCGGUUUAAGCGUGUAGGCUGGUUUUCCAGGCAAAUCCGGAAAAUCAAGGCUGAGGCGUGACGACGAGGCACUACGGUGCUGAAGCAACAAAUGCCCUGCUUCCAGGAAAAGCCUCUAAGCAUCAGGUAACAUCAAAUCGUACCCCAAACCGACACAGGUGGUCAGGUAGAGAAUACCAAGGCGCUUGAGAGAACUCGGGUGAAGGAACUAGGCAAAAUGGUGCCGUAACUUCGGGAGAAGGCACGCUGACACGUAGGUGAAGUGAUUUACUCAUGGAGCUGAAGUCAGUCGAAGAUACCAGCUGGCUGCAACUGUUUAUUAAAAACACAGCACUGUGCAAACACGAAAGUGGACGUAUACGGUGUGACGCCUGCCCGGUGCCGGAAGGUUAAUUGAUGGGGUCAGCGCAAGCGAAGCUCCUGAUCGAAGCCCCGGUAAACGGCGGCCGUAACUAUAACGGUCCUAAGGUAGCGAAAUUCCUUGUCGGGUAAGUUCCGACCUGCACGAAUGGCGUAAUGAUGGCCAGGCUGUCUCCACCCGAGACUCAGUGAAAUUGAACUCGCUGUGAAGAUGCAGUGUACCCGCGGCAAGACGGAAAGACCCCGUGAACCUUUACUAUAGCUUGACACUGAACAUUGAGCCUUGAUGUGUAGGAUAGGUGGGAGGCUUUGAAGCGUGGACGCCAGUCUGCGUGGAGCCGGCCUUGAAAUACCACCCUUUAAUGUUUGAUGUUCUAACGUGGACCCGUAAUCCGGGUUGCGGACAGUGUCUGGUGGGUAGUUUGACUGGGGCGGUCUCCUCCUAAAGAGUAACGGAGGAGCACGAAGGUUGGCUAAUCCUGGUCGGACAUCAGGAGGUUAGUGCAAUGGCAUAAGCCAGCUUGACUGCGAGCGUGACGGCGCGAGCAGGUGCGAAAGCAGGUCAUAGUGAUCCGGUGGUUCUGAAUGGAAGGGCCAUCGCUCAACGGAUAAAAGGUACUCCGGGGAUAACAGGCUGAUACCGCCCAAGAGUUCAUAUCGACGGCGGUGUUUGGCACCUCGAUGUCGGCUCAUCACAUCCUGGGGCUGAAGUAGGUCCCAAGGGUAUGGCUGUUCGCCAUUUAAAGUGGUACGCGAGCUGGGUUUAGAACGUCGUGAGACAGUUCGGUCCCUAUCUGCCGUGGGCGCUGGAGAACUGAGGGGGGCUGCUCCUAGUACGAGAGGACCGGAGUGGACGCAUCACUGGUGUUCGGGUUGUCAUGCCAAUGGCACUGCCCGGUAGCUAAAUGCGGAAGAGAUAAGUGCUGAAAGCAUCUAAGCAC
rnacentral:rRNA from 1 species